rnacentral:misc_RNA from 1 species
UGAAGUAUUAACCGUUAUGUAUGGAGGUGAACAUUCAGCAAUUUCAUCGGACAAUGUUACAAAGUUCUUCCGUUAACAUCAGUAUAUCGUCCUCGCUAAGGUAACUCCCAUACAAUUGCAUCGGAAUGUAGUUCAUUAUUGGAAAGAGAAGAAAAGUGAAGAUAGUAGAGUAACAUUUUGUUACAUCCUAAUUUAUUGUCAGAUUUUGGUUGAUUGAUUAUAGAUUUAUAG